GCUUGGUCAGCUCGGCGAUAUAGGCCGAGACGUUCUCGAUCUCACGCAGGGCCUCGCCGGCGUUCUCCGCGAGGUUCGCCCCCUCGACCACGCCC
rnacentral:tRNA from 1 species